rnacentral:rRNA from 1 species
AUUGAACGCUGGCGGCAUGCCUUACACAUGCAAGUCGAACGGUAACGGGCCUUCGGGUGCCGACGAGUGGCGAACGGGUGAGUAAUGCAUCGGAACGUACCUUUCAGUGGGGGAUAACGUAGCGAAAGUUACGCUAAUACCGCAUAUUCUGUGAGCAGGAAAGCAGGGGAUCGCAAGACCUUGCGCUGAUUGAGCGGCCGAUGUCAGAUUAGCUAGUUGGUGAGGUAAAGGCUCACCAAGGCGACGAUCUGUAGCGGGUCUGAGAGGAUGAUCCGCCACACUGGAACUGAGACACGGUCCAGACUCCUACGGGAGUCAGCAGUGGGGAAUUUUGGACAAUGGGGGCAACCCUGAUCCAGCCAUGCCGCGUGAGUGAAGAAGGCCUUCGGGUUGUAAAGCUCUUUCGGCCGGGAAGAAAUCGCACGGGCUAAUACCCUGUGUGGAUGACGGUACCGGAAUAAGAAGCACCGGCUAACUACGUGCCAGCCGCCGCCGUAACAC